GACUACUGGGGUAUCUAAUCCUGUUUGCUACCCACGCUCUCGCGUCUCAGCGUCAGUAUAGGGCCAGAAAGUCGCCUUCGCCACCGGUGUUCCUCCUGAUAUCUACGAAUUUCACCUCUACACCAGGAAUUCCACUUUCCUCUCCCUUACUCAAGCUGAACAGUUUCAAAUGCACUUCCUGGGUUAAGCCCAGGGCUUUCACAUCUGACUUAUCCAGCCGCCUACACGCUCUUUACGCCCAAUGAUUCCGAACAACGCUAGCACCCCCCGUAUUACCGCGGCUGCUGGCACGGAGUUAGCCGGUGCUUCCUUUAGCGGUACCGUCAAGCAUAAUGGAUAUUAGCCACUAUGCAUUUCUUCCCGCUCGACAGAGCUUUACGGUCCGAAAACCUUCCUCACUCACGCGGCGUUGCUGCGUCAGGGUUGCCCCCAUUGCGCAAUAUUCCUCACUGCAGCCCCCCGUAGG
rnacentral:rRNA from 1 species